UACGAAGGGGGCUAGCGUUGCUCGGAAUCACUGGGCGUAAAGGGUGCGUAGGCGGGUCUUUUAAGUCAGGGGUGAAAUCCUGGAGCUCAACUCCAGAACUGCCUUCGAUACUGGCGAUCUCGAGUUCGGGAGAGGUGAGUGGAACUGCGAGUGUAGAGGUGAAAUUCGUAGAUAUUCGCAAGAACACCAGUGGCGAAGGCGGCUCACUGGCCCGAUACUGACGCUGAGGUGCGAAAGCGUGGGGAGCAAACAGG
rnacentral:rRNA from 1 species